CCUGGAUUCCAACAUCUAACAAAUCUGAAAGUGCUUCGUCUAGUAGAUUUGCCCAAUUUAACAUCGCUUCCGGACGAGAUGCAUGGCCUAACCAGUUUGGAAUAUUUAGAUAUAAGAAGUGUACCCCAGUUGGAGGAAAGAUGUAGGAAGGACAUUGGUGCCGAUUGGCAUAAGAUUGCUCACAUCCCACGCAUUGGGUUGAAUGGGGUUACGGUGCAAGACCUAACGGAGGGCAGUUGAGUAUUUAUAUGCAGAGAAACAGGAGAGAUAUCAACACAGAGACGGAUAGAUUGGCUAAGGGAGGAAUCGGUCGAGUGCAACCAUGGAAGGGGUCCAUAGUUGGUUCCUAUACGAGUUGGAAGGGGUCGUGGAUGUUGGUUAAUUGCUUUAGGCAGGUUUUCUGAUUGGUGAAUAGAUUGUACAGAUUAAUGGAUGUUCCUGUUAUGUACUGAUGUUAUUUAAUAAAAUAAUUGGGUACUCUUUUCCCCUUCCGCUGUCUUGAUUGAGUUUCGGCUCAAUUGAGUUAAGUGGGGGGUUUUU